AACGAACGCUGGCGGCAGGCUUAACACAUGCAAGUCGAACGGGCGUAGCAAUACGUCAGUGGCGGACGGGUGAGUAACACGUGGGAAUAUGCCUUUCGGUUCGGAACAACUCGGGGAAACCCGUGCUAAUUCCGGAUACGCCCUUACGGGAAAGAUUUAUCGCCGAAAGAUUAGCCCGCGUUGGAUUAGCUAGUUGGUGAGGUAAAGGCUCACCAAGGCGACGAUCCAUAGCUGGUUUGAGAGAACGACCAGCCACACUGGGACUGAGACACGGCCCAGACUCCUACGGGGAGGCAGCAGUGGGGAAUCUUGCGCAAUGCGCGAAAGCGUGACGCAGCAACGCCGCGUGGGGGAAGACGGCCUGGUGUAA
rnacentral:rRNA from 1 species